GGCCUCGAGUUCACUCCCAACCCCUGUGACAUACCACUUGUUGCCUCGGCGGAUCAGCCCGCUCCCGGUAAAACGGGACGGCCCGCCAGAGGACCCCUAAACUCUGUUUCUAUAUGUAACUUCUGAGUAAAACCAUAAAUAAAUCAAAACUUUCAACAACGGAUCUCUUGGUUCUGGCAUCGAUGAAGAACGCAGCAAAAUGCGAUAAGUAAUGUGAAUUGCAGAAUUCAGUGAAUCAUCGAAUCUUUGAACGCACAUUGCGCCCGCCAGUAUUCUGGCGGGCAUGCCUGUUCGAGCGUCAUUUCAACCCUCAAGCACAGCUUGGUGUUGGGACUCGCGUUAAUUCGCGUUCCUCAAAUUGAUUGGCGGUCACGUCGAGCUUCCAUAGCGUAGUAGUAAAACCCUCGUUACUGGUAAUCGUCGCGGCCACGCCGUUAAACCCCAACUUCUGAAUGUUGACCUCGGAUCAGGUAGGAAUACCCGCUGAACUUAAGCAUAUCAAUAAGGCGGGGGGCAAAUUUUUUUGGGUUUACAACUCAAAACCCUGGAACAUCCAUUGUUGCUUGGCGUAUUGGCCCGUCCGUAAAAGGGACGC
rnacentral:rRNA from 1 species